AAAAAAAAGAAAUAGAACUCCCAUAUGAUUCAGCAAUUCCACUUCUGGGUAUGUAUCCACAGGAAAUGAGAUCAGUGUAUUGAAGAGACAUCUCUACGCCCAAGUUCACUGCAGCACUAUUCACAGCAGCCAUGCCGUGGAAUCAACUCAAGUGUCCACCAGUGGAUGCAUGGAGAAAGAAGAUGUGGCAUCUGUAUACACACACGGGAGUAUUAUUCAGCCUUAAAGAGAAGAAUUGUCUUGGGGCUGCAGUUGAUAAAGGAAUCGACAAUCAACAACUUUUUAACCCAGUCCAGAGUUAUUGUAUGUACACUCGAGACCCAAAGGAAGGACAGAGAAUUUUCCUCACCUCAGCCCAAACGGAGGCUGGAAUGCAUGCUUGCCUGCCACAGUUUCCACUUACUUACCACCAUCAGUCAGCAGGCUUUUAGGAGAGAAUUGCACGUGUGAUUUAGUUGCAAAUGCUUUCAGGUCCUGGAGGAGAGAUACUUGGUACACAAUGCACUUUGUCAUCACGUGUCAACAUCCCCUCAGUGCAGAGAGCAGCACUACAUGAUGUAAAGGUGGAAUUGGAUUGUGCUGGGAUCCUUAAAUCAGCAUCUCAUUUGCAGAGCCAUUUGCAAUUGAUGCCAGCCCCUUGGAGGGGGUCAGCGUGUAGAAGACAAAGGACAGCCAUAAAGCCACUGAAUGCAAACUUUAUAUUUACAGUCAGUAAGUAACUUUAUAAAUAUAUAUUACAUUCUUACAAUCUACAGUACAUUCUACACGCAGAUGGAUUUGGAAGCGGGCAGCGGCUGCAGUAUUCAACAGAACAUGACACAGGUAAGAAUGGAAAGAAAUAUGAGGACGUUACUGAAAGCAAAGGAUUCUCAUGGAAAAGGGGUGACAGCUUAAUCACCCAACCAAACAAGGUAGGUAAGCUUGUGGACAGGAGCAGGUGACUUACUGGCUGCAGAAACCUCAGUCUCAAGAGCACCACAGUUGCAGGGGAGAGGGCUAAGGUUGAGAGGGUAAACUGGUGAAAUUUACACACACAUGAUCUAAAGAGAAUUCAAUUCUAUGGAGAGGAAGAAGGAGUAAAGACACACACUCAAAAUUACAGAGAUGGAGAGGAAGCAGGGAGAAGAUAGGUUCAAAGGAGGAGAGAGAUACAGAGACAGACACACAGAGAGACUGGAAAACAGACAACUGAAGAGCAGAGAGAGAGAAAGAAAAUGACACAGAGGGAAAAAUAGAAGAUCAAUUCAACAGCAUGGCCUCUUCUGCCCACCAACCGCUGCCCCCGACCAUCUUUCUCAGGAUCCUAUCUGGCUGGCAAUCACCCAACACACCAUUCUCUACCUGGAGUGAGCAUGAGAUGAGGCAGGAAUUCUCUGAUGUAUCCUUGCCCCCAUCUUCAUAGGCUUCAUAAGUGAAGGGAUUCAGGGAUAUCCAGAGUCAUGCUGAUCUUAAGCAGUGCUGAACCUUUCGGGGCUGACUGCAGGACCAAGUGCUUGCAAACCUGCAUCUUCACCACACACACUGAUGCCCCUCAUGCCUUCGCACCACGAAGAUGAAGAAGGUUUCUGUGCUGUCCGGUGUGUGCGAGGCUGGGCUUCCUGCUGGACCCACCACUUUCACACCCAGAACCCCCCAACUCCACACGCCCUGCACGUUCCACACAGGCACCCCGAUUUGUCUCAACAGCCUCGAGGCCACAUUCUUGGACAGGAGAUCUGCCAUGAACAGUGAAAGACCCAUCCCAAGUGGCCCUGUUUUCUUUCUAGUAAAGCAAGGGAAUGUAUAUCCCCUGGUACGGAAUUCACCGUGACUACCGCCCAUGCCUAGAGACCAGCCUCUUCAAAGAUGGACGGCGUGGGACAUAUGCCCAGGUUGCCAGGGGAGCUUCUCUACAGAAUGUCACUUGGGAGUUGACACAAAACCCAGGGGGAGAAAAAAGACCCAGCAAAUACUACAAACUGCCCUCUCCCUCCCCCACCCACAGGUGACCAACGGCUUUGGGGAGGAUGGCAAUGCAGUGGAGGAAUAGAAAUGGAUACAUUGUGAACUUGAUAUGAAUCAAAAGAGCCUGGUUCUUUGAACCUGAUUCAAAUUCUAUGCCCAGUAUCCUUAGUUUACAAAUAAAGAAGUACCCUGAAGGGCUCAGAGGAUUUGCGUCCGUGUGUUUGUCCUUGGCAUGUAGUUACAAAGGUAUUUGUGGCCUGUUAGCCCACAUGUUCCCUUUCAGUCCUUGUCAGCCACUUCCUUGGCCUGUCCAUGAUCUGAGCCAGCUCUGGCCCAGCCUUUGAGAGACAAUGACUCACAAUCAUGCCUCCCACAGCUGACGGCGGCACUGGCCUGCCUGUGAUCGCGCUCACAGCAAGAUGUGCUGCUCCAGUUUCGAUGACACGCUUCCUCCCAUGGAUCCAUGGAUGCGAUCCAUGGAUGCUCCACCUGAGUUGCACUUUUCUUCCAUAGUCUGCAAUAUUGAAUAUUGGAGCCAUGUGGAUUUUACAAUAUCCAAAUUGCUUUGAUUCGAGCGAGAGAGAGAGAGAGGCUGUUCUUUCCUGGACGCUCUCAGACGCUCAGUGAUUCAGAACUUGUUUUUGUUUCAAGUCUUAAAAAUCUUGCCAUGCAUGAUAAACCUCUUUUAAGCAAGACACUGUACUCUGGAAUGUGUGCGUCGACGCGGACUCCAGGCCUUGCCGCCGAGCCGGGGUCACUGGCUGAGGCUCUAUGGAUAGUGUCAUCCUUAUUUUGUCCUGCUGCUUUGUUUCUCUUCCGGGGGCACCGUUGCUACACAUCCUGGAAUUAAAGGCUGAAAGCAAUGAUAGGCCACUUGAAUUUGGGGUCUUGGUGGAUGGAGACUACCUUCUCAUCCAAAGAUGUGGCCAUCAAGGAGAAGUCUUUCCCAUCGUAAAUAUCCAAGGGUGUGACUGAGCCAUCACUGAACUGGACCCAGCAACUGAUGGCUGCUUCCUAUGGAGAAAAAUAUGUGUUAUAAAAGGAAGAUGGGCCCUUGGGCUGUUCAGAAUCAACUUCUGAACAAUAAUAAAUUGCACGACAAAGGAAAUUACUGGUUAGUGGAAUCAUU